AGCUGGAGAUGCAGUCGAAAAAACGCAUGCAGCGGGCAAGACAAGACCAGGACCUGUGAGCAAAGUUGUCCGCUUUGCAUGGGACUCGGGAAGAACCGGGGCAGAACCAGGGCUUAACCUCAGAAGUCGUUGGGAGACUAGCAUGUCACAGCUGAAGGUCUAACACAGUUAGCGAUGAGAAGAUGCUGGAGCAGAGGAAGUGCCAGUGCCAGAAAACAAGGAGUGCUCACAGGGAGAUGAAUGAAGCCUGGAAACCUUUGCCUUCCACCUUGUGCAGCCACUGUCCUGCAUCUAAUUCCAAGUGUUCUCCUGCAGCUUGGUAUUUAAUAAACUGUGUCAUCUA